UCCGAGUUGACCCCGGCAGUCUUCGAUGAGUCCCCGGCAUCACCCGCUGGCAACUAAGGACAGGGGUUGCGCUCGUUGCGCCACUUAAGGCAACACCUCACGGCACGAGCUGACGACAGCCAUGCACCACCUGUGCAGGCUCCGAAGAGCACCCGCUUUCACGGGUUUCACCCUGCAUGUCAAGCCCAGGUAAGGUUCUUCGCGUCGCUUCGAAUUAAACCACAUGCUCCACCGCUUGUGCGGGCCCCCGUCAAUUCCUUUGAGUUUCAGUCUUGCGACCGUACUCCCCAGGCGGAGUGCUUAACGCGUUAGCUGCGGCGCCGCAGGGGUCAAUACCCGCGACACCUAGCACUCAUCGUUUACAGCGUGGACUAC
rnacentral:misc_RNA from 1 species